rnacentral:rRNA from 1 species
GUUUAUCCUGCUGGAGGCUGCAGCUAUUUGGUUCGGACUUAGACAUGCAAGUCUGUCGCAAGACGGCAAACUGCUCAGUAACGCGUAGCUAAUCUGACCUUAGGUCAAGCAUAACCUCGGGAAACUGAGGCUAAUUCUUGAUAAGAGAUUUUCUCUGGAAGGAGUUUUCUCUGAAACUCGAGCCUAAGGAUGAGGCUGCGACUGAUUAGGUUGUUGGUGGAGUAAAAGCCUACCAAGCCGAUGAUCAGUAGGGGCUCUUAGCGGAGUCGCCCCGAGAAGGAAUCUGAGACACUAUUCCUAGCUCUACGGAGUGCAGCAGCCGCGAAUCUUUUACAAUGCACGAAAGUGUGAUAAAGCGAACCAAAGUGCUUUCCGCACAGGAAAGCUUUUCUUUACUUUAAAAAGGUAGAGGAAUAAGGAGUGGGAAAGACCGGUGCCAGCCGCCGCGGUAAUACCGGCAGUCCAAGUUGCAGCCAUUUUUAUUGGGUCUAAAACAUCCGUAGCUUGUUUGAUAAGUUUAUUGUGAAAUUUUACGUCUCAAGCGUGAAGCGAGCAAUGAAUACUAUCAGACUAGAGACCGGUAGAUGUAAGGAGUACAUCCAAGGUAGUGGUUAAAUAUGUUAAUCUUGGGUGGACUAACAAUGAGCGAAGGCACCUUACAAGGACGGAUCUGACAGUGAGGGAUGAAGGCCAGGGGCGCAAAACGGAUUAGAUACCCGUGUAGUCCUGGCAGUAAACACUGCUCACUAAACAUUGGUCUCUCUUAGGGAGAAAUCAGUGCUGAAGCGAAGGCGAAGAGUGAGCUACCUGGGAAGUAUAGUCGCAAGGUCGAAACUUAAAGGAAUUGGCGGGGAGACACUACAACGAAUGACGCGUGCGGUUCAAUUAGAUUCUACACCGUGAACCUCACCAGGAGCGACAGCAGGAUGAAGGUCAGUCUAAAGGGCUUACCUGACACGCUGAGCGGAGAUGCAUGGCCGACGUCAGCCUGUGCUGUGAAGUGACCUGUUAAAUCAGGUAACAGGCGAGACCCGUGUAUAUAAUUACUACAGAAAUGAGUACAUUAUGCAGACUGCCUUGGUAACAAGGAGGAAGGUGCGGGCUACGUUAGGUGAGUACGUCCCUAACCCCCUGGGCUACACACGCGCGGCAAUGGUAGACUCAACGAGAUGCGAUACUGAAAAGUAAAGCUAAUCCCCUAAAAUCUAUCUCAGUCCAGAUUGAGGUUUGCAACUCAACCUCAUGACGAUGGAAUUCGUAGUAAUCGGAUGUUAGCAGCGUCCGGUGAAUAUGUCCCUGUCUCUUGCACACACCGCCCGUCAAACCAACCGAGUUAUGCAGAGUUGAAGCUCUUUUGAGAAGAAAUUUUGUUUGACAAGGUAGGUUAAGUCGUCACAAGGUA